CCUACGGGUGGCAGCAGUGGGGGAUAUUGCACAAUGGGGGGAACCCUGAUGCAGCGACGCCGCGUGGGUGAAGGAGCGUUUCGGCGCGUAAAGCCCUAUCGGCAGGGAAGAAGAUGACGGUACCUGACCAAUAAGCCCCGGCUAACUACGUGCCAGCAGCCGACGUAAUACGAAGGGGGCACGUGUUAUCCGGAUUUACUGGGCGUCAAGGGGGCGGAGUCGGGAGUGCAAGCCAGGAGUGAGAGCCCGGGGCACAACCCCGGGACUGCGCUUGGAAAUGCAUGGCUGGAGUACGGGAGGGGCAGGCGGAAUUCCUAGUGUAGCGGUGAAAUGCGUAGAUAUUAGGAGGAACACCUGUGGCGAAGGCGGCCUGCUGGACUGUGACUGACGUUGAGGCCCGAAGGCGUGGGGAGCAAACAGGAUUAGAUACCCGGGUAGUC
rnacentral:rRNA from 1 species